rnacentral:rRNA from 1 species
AGUGAACGCUGGCGGUAGGCCUAACACAUGCAAGUCGAACGGCAGCACAGUAAGAGCUUGCUCUUACGGGUGGCGAGUGGCGGACGGGUGAGGAAUACAUCGGAAUCUACUUUUUCGUGGGGGAUAACGUAGGGAAACUUACGCUAAUACCGCAUACGACCUACGGGUGAAAGCAGGGGAUCUUCGGACCUUGCGCGAUUGAAUGAGCCGAUGUCGGAUUAGCUAGUUGGCGGGGUAAAGGCCCACCAAGGCGACGAUCCGUAGCUGGUCUGAGAGGAUGAUCAGCCACACUGGAACUGAGACACGGUCCAGACUCCUACGGGAGGCAGCAGUGGGGAAUAUUGGACAAUGGGCGCAAGCCUGAACCAGCCAUACCGCGUGGGUGAAGAAGGCCUUCGGGGUGUAAAGCCCUUUUGUUGGGAAAGAAAAGCAGCAGGUUAAUACCCCGCUGUUCUGACGGUACCCAAAGAAUAAGCACCGGCUAACUUCGUG